rnacentral:rRNA from 1 species
UAGAGUUUGAUCCUGCUCAGGACGAACGCUGGCGGCGUGCUUAACACAUGCAAGUCGAACGGUAAGGCCCUUUCGGGGGUACACGAGUGGCGAACGGGUGAGUAACACGUGGGUAAUCUGCCCUGCACUUCGGGAUAAGCCUGGGAAACUGGGUCUAAUACCGGAUAUUCAGCUCCUGCCGCAUGGUGGGGGUUGGAAAGGUUUUCGGUGCAGGAUGAGCCCGCGGCCUAUCAGCUUGUUGGUGGGGUAAUGGCCUACCAAGGCGACGACGGGUAGCCGGCCUGAGAGGGUGAUCGGCCACACUGGGACUGAGACACGGCCCAGACUCCUACGGGAGGCAGCAGUGGGGAAUAUUGCACAAUGGGCGAAAGCCUGAUGCAGCGACGCCGCGUGGGGGAUGACGGUCUUCGGAUUGUAAACCCCUUUCAGUAGGGACGAAGCGCAAGUGACGGUACCUGCAGAAGAAGCACCGGCCAACUACGUGCCAGCAGCCGCGGUAAUACGUAGGGUGCGAGCGUUGUCCGGAAUUACUGGGCGUAAAGAGCUCGUAGGCGGUUUGUCACGUCGUCUGUGAAAUCCUCCAGCUU